rnacentral:tmRNA from 1 species
GGGGGUGACCUGGCUUCGACUUGGGUGUUUCACCUUUCGGGAGAAGCGGGCCGAGGUCCCCGGAGUCCUCGUUAAAGAGCCGGGAUCAACACAAGCGCCAAUAACCUUGCGCUUGCUGCCUAACUAGGCAGCCGUCCGCCGCGGAUCGCCUGCGACCGCGGGUCGGGCGUCACCAGCAGGCUCACCGUUCCGGUUGCGUCUCACGGCCGGAUCGGGACACCGCAGUGAGGCUGGUCCGGCGGUCCUCCGCCUGUGGGAGCCGCCGGACGAGAACUCACCACAGGCUGCGCCCGGAGAAGAACCGGAAGGUCACCUGAGGACGCGGGUUCGAUUCCCGCCACCUCCACUC